UACAGAGGGUGCGAGCGUUAAUCGGAAUUACUGGGCGUAAAGCGUGCGCAGGCGGUGAUGUAAGACAGUUGUGAAAUCCCCGGGCUCAACCUGGGAACUGCAUCUGUGACUGCAUCGCUGGAGUACGGUAGAGGGGGAUGGAAUUCCGCGUGUAGCAGUGAAAUGCGUAGAUAUGCGGAGGAACACCGAUGGCGAAGGCAAUCCCCUGGACCUGUACUGACGCUCCAUGCACGAAAGCGUGGGGAGCAAACAGG
rnacentral:rRNA from 1 species